rnacentral:rRNA from 1 species
GACGAACGCUGGCGGCGUGCUUAACACAUGCAAGUCGAACGAUGAACCCGGAGCUUGCUCCGGUGGAUUAGUGGCGAACGGGUGAGUAACACGUGAGUAACCUGCCCUUGACUCUGGGAUAACUCCGGGAAACCGGGGCUAAUACCGGAUAUGACCUCCUUGGGCAUCCUUGGAGGUGGAAAGAUUUUCGGUGAGGGAUGGGCCCGCGGCCUAUCAGCUUGUUGGUGAGGUAGUGGCUCACAAAGGCGACGACGGGUAGCCGGCCUGAGAGGGCGACCGGCCACACGGGGACUGAGACACGGCCCAGACUCCUACGGGAGGCAGCAGUGGGGAAUAUUGCGCAAUGGGCGAAAGCCUGACGCAGCAACGCCGCGUGCGGGAUGACGGCCUUCGGGUUGUAAACCGCUUUCAGCAGGGAAGAAGCCGCAAGGUGACGGUACCUGCAGAAGAAGCACCGGCUAACUACGUGCCAGCAGCCGCCGUAA